rnacentral:lncRNA from 1 species
CCGAGGUCUAUAGAUCUUAUCUGGUAUGCACCCUAUUCUUACAAUAAGUCUACUACAACCAACAUAUGCCUCAAGAUUUCGUAUGGCUAGAAGACCGAGUUAUAGUGUAGUCAAACAACAGCACCCUCAUUGUGAACAAUCGAGGCACCACAGAUCUAAGAACUAGUUACACUACCACAGCAUCGAGUUAGUCACUGAUGAAAAGGUAGACAUCUUAGUGACUACUCGUAUUUGGUCAUGCUCAGUAUCAUUUUUCCUACAAGCACUUGCACUCUCACUUCGAUAUCUUCAUACUAUAGAUUCAAGAUCCAUCUACCCUAAGCAAACAAUCGUGCACCAAUCUCUCUGGAUCUAGUGUUGUCCCAAUGAUGAUCCU